CGGCAGCCCGAGUGGUGAUCACUAUUAUUGGGUCUAAAGGGUCCGUAGCCGGUUUGAUCAGUCUUUUGGGAAAUCUGACAGCUUAACUGUUAGGCUUCCAAAGGAUACUGUCAGACUUGGGACCGGGAGAGGUAAGAGGUACUACAGGGGUAGGAGUGAAAUCUUGUAAUCCCUGUGGGACCACCAGUGGCGAAGGCGUCUUACCAGAACGGGUCCGACGGUGAGGGGCGAAAGCUGGGGGCACGAACCGGAUUAGAUACCCGAGUAGUCC
rnacentral:rRNA from 1 species